UCGUGGCGAACACGGGAGUGGCGAGACGGGUGAGUAACGCGUGGGAACGAUGCCCUUUGGUUCGGAAUAACUCAGGGAAACUUGAGCUAAUACCGGAUAAGCCCGAGAGGGAAAGAUUUAUCGCCGAAGGAUUGGCCCGCGUCCGAUUAGCUAGUUGGUGAGGUAACGGCUCACCAAGGCGACGAUCGGUAGCUGGUCUGAGAGGAUGAUCAGCCACACUGGGACUGAGACACGGCCCAGACUCCUACGGGAGGCAGCAGUGGGGAAUAUUGGACAAUGGGGGCAACCCUGAAUCCAGCCAUGCCGCGUGAGUGAUGAAGGCCUUAGGGUUGUAAAGCUCUUUCGGCGGGGACGAUAAUGACGGUACCCGCAGAAGAAGCCCCGGCUAACUUCGUGCCAGCCGCCGC
rnacentral:rRNA from 1 species